rnacentral:rRNA from 1 species
UCGAUUAGAGUUUGAUUCUGGCUCAGAACGAACGCUGGCGGCGUGGAUAAGACAUGCAAGUCGAGCGCUGAUUACGGGGUAGCAAUAUUCCGUGGUCGGAGCGGCGCAAGGGUGCGUAACACGUGGGUAAUUUGCCAUGAAGUCUGGAAUAACUUGCUGAAAGGCGAGCUAAUGCCGGAUGUGAAAGUUGGGAGGCAUCUUCUGAUUUUCAAAGUUGGGGACCGUAAGGCCUGACGCUUCAUGAUAAGCCCGCGGCCUAUCAGCUAGUUGGUGAGGUAACGGCCCACCAAGGCUAAGACGGGUAGCUGGUCUGAGAGGACGACCAGCCACACUGGAACUGAGACACGGUCCAGACACCUACGGGUGGCAGCAGUCGAGAAUUUUUCACAAUGGGCGAAAGCCUGAUGGAGCGACGCCGCGUGGGGGAUGAAUGGCUUCGGCCCGUAAACCCCUGUCAUUCGGGAUCAAUGCGUUUGGGUGAACAUCCCAAACGUUGAUAGUACCGGAAGAGGAAGGGACGGCUAACUCUGUGCCAGCAGCCGCGGUAAUACAGAGGUCCCAAGCGUUGUUCGGAUUUACUGGGCGUAAAGGGUGCGUAGGUGGUUGGAUAAGUCUGAUGUGAAAUCUCGGAGCUUAACUCCGAAACGGCAUUGGAUACUAUCCAGCNNGAG